UAGAAACAUUGACAAGAGAGAAACAUCAUCUAUCAGCUGCUUGCAACACAGGCAUGUGCCCUGACCGGGAAUCGAACCGGUGACCUCUUGGUUUGUGGAUUGAUGCUCAACCACUGAACCAUACAGGCCAGGCUGAAGUCAAGGUUUUAAUAAGAAAGCAAAAUGGGGAGAAAUUAGUGUGACUUGACAAGAUGUUCUCUGAAGUUAGCUCUUAGGAGAGACUGAAAUAGCAAGAGCAUAUUACAAGGACAAGUAAGGGGAUGGCAUAAAACUG